rnacentral:rRNA from 1 species
ACGGUCCUAAGGUAGCGAAAUUCCUUGUCAGGUAAGUUCUGACCCGCACGAAAGGCGUAACGAUUUGGGCGCUGUCUCAGCUGUAGACUCGGUGAAGUCUUAGUACCUGUGAAGAUGCAGGUUACCCGCGACUAGACGGAAAGACCCCAUGGAGCUUCACUGCAGGUUGAUAUUGGGAUUUGAUGCAGCAUGUACAGGAUAGGUAGGAGGCAAAGAGAUGGAUACGCCAGUAUUCAAGGAGCCGCUGUUGGGAUACUACCCCUGUUGUAUUGGAUUUCUAACCGGACGACGUAGAGCCGUUGACGGGACAGUGUCAGUCGGGCAGUUUGACUGGGGCGGUCGCCUCCCAAAGAGUAACGGAGGCGCCCAAAGAUACCCUCAGCUUGGAUGGAAACCAAGCGCAGAGUGCAAAGGCAAAAGGGUGUUUGACUGCGAGACCCACAAGUCGAGCAGGGACGAAAGUCGGGCUUAGUGAUCCGGCGGUGCUGAAUGGAAAGGCCGUCGCUCAACGGAUAAAAGCUACCCUGGGGAUAACAGGCUGAUCUCCCCCAAGAGUUCACAUCGACGGGGAGGUUUGGCACCUCGAUGUCGGCUCAUCGCAUCCUGGAGCUGAAGUCGGUUCCAAGGGUUGGGCUGUUCGCCCAUUAAAGCGGUACGCGAGCUGGGUUCAGAACGUCGUGAGACAGUUCGGUCCCUAUCUGUCGUGGGCGCAGGAAAUUUGAGAAGAGCUGUCCUCAGUACGAGAGGACCGGGAUGGACGCAUCAAUGGUGGACCAGUUGUCACGCCAGUGGCAUAGCUGGGUAGCUAAAUGCGGAAGGGAUAAACGCUGAAGGCAUCUAAGUGUGAAACCCACUUCAAGAUGAGAUUUCCCAUUGCGCAAGCAAGUAAGACCCCUUAAAGACGAUAAGGUAGAUAGGUCAGGAGUGUAAGCAUGGUGACAUGUUAAGCGGACUGAUACUAAUAGGUCGAGGGCUUGACCGA